UACAGAGGGGGGCAAGCGUUGUUCGGAAUUACUGGGCGUAAAGGGCGCGUAGGCGGCCUUCUAAGUCGAACGUGAAAUCCCCGGGCUCAACCCGGGAACUGCGUCCGAUACUGGAAGGCUUGAAUCCGGGAGAGGGAUGCGGAAUUCCAGGUGUAGCGGUGAAAUGCGUAGAUAUCUGGAGGAACACCGGUGGCGAAGGCGGCAUCCUGGACCGGUAUUGACGCUGAGGCGCGAAAGCCAGGGGAGCAAAGCGGG
rnacentral:rRNA from 1 species